rnacentral:lncRNA from 1 species
UUCCAUAUGACACAUGUCAUCUAGGAGUUCUAUUGGGGUGCGUCCAAAUGGAUUUCUUAGCAUAUGGUAUGUUCCAUGCAAACCGUGCACCUAUUUUGCAUCAAGAUUAGCACUAUCUCCAAACAAAUCGAACCGACCUUCCACUUGAGCCUCUUCACCUAGGAUUAUCAUCGGGUGCUUCCAUAAUGGUUUCUAAGCCUAUGGUGCAUUAUGCGCAAACCAUGCACCAAUCUUGCACCUAAACUAACACUGUCUCCAAACAGAUUGAAGCGAGAUUCCAUAUGACACACAUGAUCUAGAAGUUCUAUCGGGUGCGUCCAAAUUGAUUUCUGAGAAUAUGGUACGUUCCAAGCAAAUCGUACACCUAUCUUGCAUCAAGAUUAGCACUAUCUUCAAACAGAUCGAACCGAGCUUUCACAUGAGCCUCUUCACCUAGGAGUACCAUCGGGAACUUCCACAACGAUUUCUGAGCCUAUGGUGCACUGGGCAAAAACCAUGCAACUAUCUUGCACCGAGACUAAUACUAUCUCCAACUGGGUCGAAUCGAGAUUCCAUAUGAUACACGUCAUCUAGUAGUUCUAUCGGAUGCAUCUACAAUUCCAUCAAAUUUGUCCGAGUUGAUUUCUGAGCAUAUGGUAUGUUCCAUGCAAACCAUGCACCUAUCUUGCAUCAAGAUUAGAACUAUCUCCAAACAGACAGAACCAAGAUUCCACUUGAGCCUCUUCACCAAGGAGUACCAUCGUGUGCGUCCAAUAUAGUUUCUUAGCCUAUGGUGCAUUCACUACAAGAAAUCUGGGCUUCUAUGACGAUUACCAGAUGACAGAACACCUAUCUGUCAUAAAUGCAGGCUGUUUAUGACGACUGUUUAGUGGAUGACAAAAGUUUAUGACCAAACUAUGUCUUCGUCAUAAACAACGUCAUAGCAUCUAGCUGCAUGGGAUUUAUGACGAUAGAUUGUGACAAUAGUUAGUUGUCAUAAAAUAUAAAUCUAUUACAAUUAUUUUUAAAAUAUCUUGUUAUCCCACAUGGUCAUUGGUGCACACUAUCAUAUGUCCUAGGUAAAUUAUUUCCGUCCUAGUUAACUCCUAGUCCCACGUAGGAUUGGAGGAAGAAAAUUUCAAAAGAAAACACCAAAAUAUUAGUAUUUGUGAUGAUAGAUUGUAACAAUAAUUGAUCAUUAUAAAUAUAAAUCUAUUAUAGUUAUUUUUAAAAUAUUAUGUUAUCCUCUUUAGUCGUUGGUGCACACUACCGUAUGCCCUAGUUAGAGCCCCAUGUAGGAUUGGAUGAAAAAAAUUCAAAAAAAAACACCAUAGUUAUAGCCCCAUAUAGGAUUGGAUAAAAAAAUCAAAAAAAAACACAAAAAUGUCGGCAGCCACAGGGUUUGAACCUAGGACCUGCGACCAUUUCAUCCUCAGCCAACUGCGCUAGCCACUGAAGACCAAUCCCUUUUCUGCUAGAGGGGAGUGUUCGACACUUUUUGUAUUCUGGAGUUUGGAUGCUGGCAAAAAGAGAUCCAAAACUUGGCAUCUCAGUCUCCUGACCACAUUCGCAGGCAUCAGUUAGAGCCCCAUGUAGGUUUUUCAAUAUGUAUUUUUUGUUUAUUCAUGACUUUUGUAGCUGGGACCAUCUAGGGUCCGGUCAAAGUAUUUUUUUCUGAAAAAUCCAAUGUUUGACUUGGUCAAACUAGCCAAUAAAAUACCUCAAAUAAAAAACUUUUGAAUACAAAGAAGUUAGACCUCACCAAGGUCUACCUUUGAUACAUAGUACAAUUUUGCAUUUAGAAAAGUUCUAGUAAACUCUAGUCACAUUUUUCAAAAAUCCAAGGCGUGACUUGGUCAAACCUGGUCAAACAAGGCACUAAAUGACCUCAAAUGAAAAUCUUUUGAAUACAAGGUAGUUAGAGC